CCUGGAACUCACUUUGUAGACCAGGCUGUCCUCAAACUCACAGAGAUCUGCCUGCCUCUACCUCCUGAGUGCUGGGAU
rnacentral:miRNA from 1 species